rnacentral:ncRNA from 1 species
UUAAAAGCUAUGAAGGAGUUAAGUAAGUUGAUGGUAGCCUUUACAGAGAGGAGAUGUCACCGGCUGUAAGCAUCUCUAAAGGUCAUUAAGUGAAAUUUCGCUCUGGAGCUGUAUAGCUGAAUCUUUUAGUAAGUUAUACCGGCAUUUCUGUCGUUAUUGAAACUAGUGGGACUAUAAUUAUAGUCCAAUUAGGGUGGUACCACGAAAUUCAAGCCUGCCUUGUUUCGUCCUAAAU